rnacentral:rRNA from 1 species
CUGGCCCUACGAGCACAAACGCUUAAAACCCUAAGGACUUGGCGGUGUCCCAAAACCCCCUAGAGGAGCCUGUUCUGUAAUCGAUAACCCACGCUACACCUCACCCCUCCUUGCCCAAGCAGCCUACAUACCGCCGUCGCCAGCCCACCUCAAAUGAGAGUACAACAGUGGACAUAACAAUCCCCCAUUAACAAGACAGGUCAAGGUAUAGCCCAUGGAGGGGAAGAAAUGGGCUACAUUUUCUAACCUAGACCACACACGAAAGGGGGUCUGAAACAAACCCCCAGAAGGAGGAUUUAGCAGUAA